rnacentral:piRNA from 1 species
UUCCUACUCAAGAUCACUUCAUCAUUCC